CUUUGAAGAAAAAGGGAGAGUCACACAGCAUCCCCCAUAGGACAGAAGACACAGAGAUGGCAGAAGGGGCCUCUCUGCCGGCAAAGAAGACUUUCUAGUAUGCUGGGAAGGUAAUCUUUGACAGUGCCUGGUGGGGCCUCAAAGAGACCCUGGAAAACCACUGACAGAUGGCAAGAGCCAGAGGGACCUUAGCAGUCAUCCAGCCUCCUCAUUUUACUGCUUAAGGAUACUUACAGCUUCCUCGGCUUGUCUCUUGUAAGAUUUCACCUUUGCCUGAAGUUUAUCUACCAAAUCUUGAAGCCUGAGAAUAUUUUUCCGAUCUUCUUCCGUCUGAAAGAAUAAAAAGCGUAGAACUUUACUUCUAAAUAACAUGGUGGUUAUAUCAUUGCAUAUGAGUAUUUCACGUAUAUAUGGAGAAGAACUUAGUUGAUAAAAAUUCUUGCUG